GAUGAACGCUAGCGACAGGCUUAACACAUGCAAGUCGAGGGGCACCACACGGAGCGAUACCGGGUGGCGACCGGCGCACGGGUGAGUAACGCGUAUGCAACUUGCCUAUCACAGGGGGAUAACCCGGCGAAAGUCGGACUAAUGCCGCAUGAAGCAAGGGCCCCGCAUGGGGAUAUUUGCUAAAGAUUCAUCGCUGAUAGAUAGGCAUGCGAUCCAUUACGCAGUUGGCGGGGUAACGGCCCACCAAACCGACGAUGGAUAGGGGUUCUGAUAGGAAGGUCCCCCACAUUGAUACUGAGACACGGACCAGACUCCUACGGCAGGCACCAGUGAGGAAUAUUGGUCAAUGGUCGACAGGCUGAACCAGCCAAGUCACGUGAGGCAUGAAGGUUCUAUGGAUCGUACACCUCUUUUAUAAGGUAAUAAAGUGCGGGACACGUCCCGUUUUGUAUGUGCCUUAUGAAUAAAGAUCGGCUAACUCCGUGCCACCAGCCGCGGUAAUACGGAGGAUCCGAGCGUUAUCCGGAUUUAUUGGGUUUAAAGGGUGCGUAGGCGGCCUUUUAGUCAGCGGUGAAAGUCUGUGGCUCAACCAUAGAAUUGCCGUUGAAACUGGGAGGCUUGAGUAUGUUUGAGGCAAGCGGAAUGCGUGGUGUAGCGGUGAAAUGCUUAGAUAUCUCGCAGAACCCCGAUUGCGAAGGCAGCCUGCCGAGCCAUUACUGACGCUGAUGCACGAAAGCGUGGGGAUCAAACAGGAUUAGAUACCCUGGUAGUCCACGCAGUAAACGAUGAUCACUAGCUGUUUGCGAUACACUGUAAGCGGCACAGCGAAAGCGUUAAGUGAUCCACCUGGGGAGUACGCCGGCAACGGUGAAACUCAAAGGAAUUGACGGGGGCCCACACAAGCGGAGGAACAUGUGGUUUAAUUCGAUGAUACGCGAGGAACCUUACCCGGGUUUGAACGCACUUUGACAGCUCUGGAAACAGAGCCUCUAGCAAUAGCGAUUUGCGAGGUGCUGCAUGGUUGUCGUCACCUCGUGCCGUGAGGUGUCAGCUUAAGUGCCAUAACGAGCGCAACCCUUGCCACUAGUUACUAACACGUAAAGCUGAGGGCUCUGGUGGGACUGCCAGCGUAAACUGCGAGGAAGGCGGGGAUGACGUCAAAUCAUCACGCCCCUUACAUCCGGGGCGACACACGUGUUACAAUGGCGUGGACAAAGGGAGGCCACCUGGCGACAGGGAGCGAAUCCCCAAACCACGUCUCAGUUCGGAUCGGAGUUUGCAACCCGACUCCGUGAAGCCGGAUUCGCUAGUAAUCGCGCAUCAGCCAUGGCGCGGUGAAUACGUUCCCGGGCCU
rnacentral:rRNA from 1 species